UCCGCGGCCGCUUCGUGUGCGGCUGCUCGUAGUCCAGUGGCACCGCACUCGAGUGCCGCAUGUCCUGCCCGGCGGGCGAGCCCAUGUUGCUCGACGAUACUGAACCUGCAACGUGCCGAUACACUGUAAUUGGUAAGAUAGAUGUGCGGGCUGCGGCGCGGGCGCAGGGGGCGGGCCGCGGUGCAUGUGGUCAGGCGCACGCGGUGGCGACACCGGCUCCGCUUUGAUCUUCACGUUGCUAGGCGACGCGGCUGGUGGGGGCGUGCCUCCGCCGCCCAGCACUGGCAAGCUGCUACUGUUGAAUGGACAACCUUAUUAGUGAAGGUGGAAUUGGAAGGAACAUUUUAGGGGUCAAUGUACUUCUGAUUUUGAAGUUAGGGGUAAAAAUUGUAGAGGUUGGGUUUGAUUUCAAAUAAAAUGCCUCAAAAAUGUUUCUUAAUUUGUUCAAUAUGGUUAAGCUGAACUUCUAGAUCCCAUUACACUCUUCAACGGUACAUUGAAUUAAAAACAAAUGCAUAAAUUA